rnacentral:rRNA from 1 species
AUUGAACGCUGGCGGCAGGCCUAACACAUGCAAGUCGAACGGUAACAGGAAGAAGCUUGCUUCUUUGCUGACGAGUGGCGGACGGGUGAGUAAUGUCUGGGAAACUGCCUGAUGGAGGGGGAUAACUACUGGAAACGGUAGCUAAUACCGCAUAACGUCGCAAGACCAAAGAGGGGGACCUUCGGGCCUCUUGCCAUCGGAUGUGCCCAGAUGGGAUUAGCUAGUAGGUGGGGUAACGGCUCACCUAGGCGACGAUCCCUAGCUGGUCUGAGAGGAUGACCAGCCACACUGGAACUGAGACACGGUCCAGACUCCUACGGGAGGCAGCAGUGGGGAAUAUUGCACAAUGGGCGAAAGCCUGAUGCAGCCAUGCCGCGUGUAUGAAGAAGGCCUUCGGGUUGUAAAGUACUUUCAGCGGGGAGGAAGGGAGUAAAGUUAAUACCUUUGCUCAUGGACGUUACCCGAAGAAGAAGCACCGGCUAACUCCGU